GAUACCCUGUUAUUUAAAAUGUAAUUAAUUAACUUAGGUAGUAAUAGUUAUGUUCUUAAAACUUAAAAAAUUUGGCGGUAUUUUAGUCUAUUCAGAGGAACUUGUUUUGUAAUCGAUAAUCCACGAUGGACCUUACUUAAAUUUGUAAUCAGUUUAUAUACCGUUGUUAUUAGAAUAUUUUAUAAGAAUGAUAAUUUUCAUAAUUUUUAUGAUAAAGUAUAUCAAAUCAAGGUGUAGCUUAUAUUUAAGUGAAAAUGAGUUACAAUAAAAAUAUUUAUGCGGAUAUAAAUUUGAAAUAUUUAUUAAAGAUGGAUUUGAUAGUAAAAUUAUAAAGAUAAAUAAUUUGAUUUUAGCUCUAAAGUAUGUACAAAUCGCCCG
rnacentral:rRNA from 1 species